GGUAAUACUGUCUACAGUGUAGGACAGAGGAGAUAGAGCCCUGAGGUAAUACUGUCUACAGUGUAGGACAGAGGAGCUAGAGCCCUGAGGUAAUACUGUCUACAGUGUAGGACAGAGGAGCUAGAGCCCUGAGGUAAUACUGUCUACAGUGUAGGACAGAGGAGCUAGAGCCCUGAGGUAAUACUGUCUACAGUGUAGGACAGAGGAGCUAGAGCCCUGAGGUAAUACUGUCUACAGUGUAGGACAGAGGAGCUAGAGCCCUGAGGUAAUACUGUCUACAGUGUAGGACAGAGGAGCUAGAGCCCUGAGGUAAUACUGUCUACAGUGUAGGACAGAGGAGCUAGAGCCCUGAGGUAAUACUGUCUACAGUGUAGGACAGAGGAGCUAGAGCCCUGAGGUAAUACUGUCUACAGUGUAGGACAGAGGAGCUAGAGCCCUGAGGUAAUACUGUCUACAGUGUAGGACAGAGGAGCUAGAGCCCUGAGGUAAUACUGUCUACAGUGUAGGACAGAGGAGCUAGAGCCCUGAGGUAAUACUGUCUACAGUGUAGGACAGAGGAGCUAGAGCCCUGAGGUAAUACUGUCUACAGUGUAGGACAGAGGAGCUAGAGCCCUGAAGUAAUACUGUCUACAGUGUAGGACAGAGGAGCUAGAGCCCUGAGGUAAUACUGUCUACAGUGUAGGACAGAUGAGCUA